GGAGGUAUAGCUCAGUAGUAGAGUGCGUGUUUGGCAAGCAUGCAGUCCUGGGUUCAAUCCCUAGUACCUCUA
rfam:Camelus ferus unplaced genomic scaffold scaffold829, whole genome shotgun sequence.